GCGGUUAGUGGCGGACUGGUGAGUAACACGUAAGCAACCUGCCUAUCAGAGGGGAACAACAGUUAGAAAUGACUGCUAAUACCGCAUAUGCCUUAGUAUCGCAUGAUACAAAAGGGAAAGGAGCAAUCCGCUGAUAGAUGGGCUUGCGUCUGAUUAGCUAGUUGGUGGGGUAAAGGCCUACCAAGGCGACGAUCAGUAGCCGGACUGAGAGGUUGAACGGCCACAUUGGGACUGAGAUACGGCCCAGACUCCUACGGGAGGCAGCAGUCGGGAAUAUUGCGCAAUGGAGGAAACUCUGACGCAGUGACGCCGCGUGCAGGAAGAAGGUUUUCGGAUUGUAAACUGCUUUAGACAGGGAAGAAACAAGACAGUACCUGUAGAAUAAGCUCCGGCUAACUACGUGCCAGCAGCCGCGGUAAUACGUAGGGAGCAAGCGUUAUCCGGAUUUAUUGGGUGUAAAGGGUGCGUAGACGGGAAGGCAAGUUGGUUGUGAAAUCCCUCGGCUUAACUGAGGAACUGCAACCAAAACUAUCUUUCUUGAGUGCUGGAGAGGAAAGUGGAAUUCCUAGUGUAGCGGUGAAAUGCGUAGAUAUUAGGAGGAACACCAGUGGCGAAAGCGACUUUCUGGACAGUAACUGACGUUGAGGCACGAAAGUGUGGGGAGCAAACAGGAUUAGAUACCCUGGUAGUCCACACCGUAAACGAUGAAUACUCGCUGUUUGCGAUAUACAGUAAGCGGCCAAGCGAAAGCAUUAAGUAUUCCACCUGGGGAGUACGCCGGCAACGGUGAAACUCAAAGGAAUUGACGGGGGCCCGCAC
rnacentral:rRNA from 1 species